AAUUUAUUAUUAUUUAAAAAAAAAAAAUAUUCCCAAUUCUCUGAGUUUACGAUUGCGAAACGAAACUCAAUCCCUAGAGCUCCAAAUCCGUUUUCAAUGAUCGAUUACCGAAAUUGGGAAUCGAUUUCUUUCAAGUUCUAGAGUUUCUGACCUAAGCGUCUCAUCGAUUUAGUCUUUUGAAUCGUUUGAAAUCAAUUUCCAUUUCAUCUCAAAUGCGCAGAUCUAACAUCGAGUUUCAGAAGCAACAGUAAAGUUUCGUACAAAUCUGUGCUCGUGUGAAGGGAUACGCUGUUCGUUGGUUCUUUUGUGAGCUUCGUCUACCAGGAAAAUUACCAACUACAGGAAAGAGAUGGCUUGGAAAAUGAUUCAGAAAAAAUUAUGGUUUCAUGAUCCAAGUAGGAGGAAGAAAUAUGUUUUGUCUGAGUCCUUUGCUGGCAAAAAAAACAGAAGGCCCUCCUCGAGAGAGAUAUCAGCAAACAGGAGUCCUUUGCUGGCAAAAGACGGGACUCUUUUUUUGUUGAAAGAAGUGCAAACCAGUUGUUGCAGUGGUUAUCCAUAGCAGUCCUUUUGGAGCACUCAAAAUACCCAACUAGAACAUCUGCAAAUAUAUGUCAACGAGCUUGUUCUCAAUCCCUUUAAACUUUUAGGCAAAGAGGGAGCUGGAAUAUUGCCGACUUGAAGGUGUUACACUUGCUGAUAGGCUAAGAUGUUCUGAGGAAAAUGCUAAGCAGGAAAAAGAAUGCAGGUGAAUGCAGUAGUUGGCAACACAAAGUUUAACAUAAACCUUCAUCAAACAUCUAGUAUCAACAGUGACCACGAAAGUGGCAUUUCCAAGACUGGACUAUGAGCUUGGAUUUCACUUGAAAACUGGAAAAAGCAUCAAUUUGAGGAUCUGGAAAAGCUGUGUAUUAAGAAAAAUCCAUGAAGACAGUACAUAUAGGUAUACUAUAUGAAAAAAAUUGUAGUUUCAAUGACAUUUGCAUUUCUAUGUAAA